rnacentral:rRNA from 1 species
UACGGGAGGGGGCGAGCGUUGUCCGAAGUUACUGGGCGUAAAGGGCGCGUAGGCGGGGAGCUAAGUCCGCUGUCAAAGCCCGGGGCUUAACCCCGGAAGGUCGGUGGAGACUGGUUUCUUGAAGCUGCCAGGGGGAGAUGGAAUUACCGGUGUAGCGGUGAAUGCGUAGAUAUCGGUAGGAACACCAGUGGCGAAGGCGGUCUCCUGGAGCAGACUUGACGCUGAGGCGCGAAAGCUGGGGGAGCGAACGGG